CAACAAUGCCGUGGACACUCCGAUGGAAUGCCGUUUGACAUGAUCAAAGAUCAAGGACCGAACCAUUAGACAUCUAUGAUGCCUCAGGUCAAAGGACUAAUUUGCAUAUUGUAACUUUAGAGUUCAUACAUGACAUGUAUGUAGUCAUACUCACGUUUGAGUCUAGUCAUACUCACGUUUGAGUCAACACAACACAUACUAACCUUAGCGGAUUGUCAAUGCCCAAUUGGCAAUCCUAUGUUGGAAAUAUGCCCUGAAAGUCAAUCUUUGGAAGAAAUCUUUCAGGACAAAUGAAUCGAUGUAUGGAUGAUUCUUAUACAUCAAAUGGCAAAGAUGCUAAUUAGGACUAUCUCAAUAAACGAUAUAUGUCCUGAAUAGUGUAUCCAUGGACAAUGGAUCGAUUGGAGAAGUAAUCUAAUGAUGUUAGACUACAGAGACCUUCUUCACAUAACCAUUAUGUCCAAAAGGUUCUUGGUCGUUGGAUUGUCGGAGGGAUACUGACAAUGCGUAGACCGGUACAUACUAUGUCCGCUUCAAUUGGAAGGAUGGAAAGUCUCAUCCCAUUCGUGUUGUGACACUAA
rnacentral:lncRNA from 1 species